CACAACUCGAUAAUCUUAAUUUGUUUGCAUGGAGUUUUCCCCAAGGAACAAAAUCCGAAAUAUGUAAAUAAAACCCCUGUCGGAACGAUAAAAAUCGCAAAAAUCCAACGUUUCUCAUUGUUCGCUUGCAAUCUGUCUGAAUCUGGAAUUAAAUGUGCACGUGUACAACUCCAAACAUGGCAUAACUAUUUUUAUUAGAUACGCUAUUUCUGAGUUGUAAUGUACCCAUUAUAAAUAUCCCUUUAACGUUAUAAUUAUCAUUAUCAUUAGUAAACAUCUUUCAUUAUCAUUAGCAAACGUCUUAAAUUUAAUUUGUAUCAUCUACAUCCGGCAUGUUCAACUUUGUACCUAAUUACUUUACUAUCUCGAGUCCACUUUUAUUUGUACAUUCUUCCGCUUAUCGCCUUUCAUCCCUCUAUAUAUAAGAAAUCAUUUUUAUGUUAUAGGGCAGUCAGAAUAAGUUAGUUGUUACUAUACGACCUAAUGUCAAUUCCAAAUUCCAAGUUUUAAUAAAUUAUAGUAGUAGUUAGAAGUAAAGUACUGGAGUUUCUCUUUCCCAUCACCGGACCAUCACAAAAUUGGUGUCAGAAGUGGGAUAGUAAUAGUGCGGUUGGAAAAUUUAUUUCAAAUUCAAUUUGAAAUUUCAAUCAGCAAGUUUGGGAAACUUCGAUUUGGGCUAUCGUCCAUCAUCCAGUGGUGCAACAUCCAGGUCUUCAAGGUUCGUGUAUUCGUGCUACCUGCUGCAUCGUCGCUACCAUAGGUGACAAACGGCGAUAUUCAACCCCAGACGUGAAGGUUUUCGAAAAUCGUGUGGUCCAGUGUAACAUAAUGGGAUUCCAGCAGUUAUCUUCCCUUGUGCAACUCAUUCUGUCUAUCAGCUUAUUAGCAACACUUGAAUACGCACAAAUCACCGAUCAACAACAGUACACCGUAACACCGAUUAACCAUUUCUCUGGUAUAUAUUUUGAACACAUAAAUAAUGUGAAAUUUCAAGAGACACAUUGGCAAAUAGUAUCCUACCUCGAUAUAAGUUCAUUAGAAGAUAAGUUAUCGUUCAUUGAUCAUGCUUAUAAUCAAACUUUGCAUCUUUGCCAAAGUAAUCAACAUUCAUUAAUGGCGUUAUGUCAAUCAUCGUUAAAACUAUUAAAACAUAUAGUACCUUAUUUGCAUAAAUCAGAAGUAGAUCUCAAAAAUCUUAUUAAUAAUAAGAGAACUAAACGCGCUUGGUUAAAUAUCGUUGGCGAUGCUCUAAAAACUGCUUUUGGUACACUUGAUGAAGCAGAUGCUAAAUAUUAUAAUGGAAUUAUAAAUCAGAUAAACAAAAACGAAUAUAAUUUAGGCAAACUUUUAAAACAACAAAUAAUGGUAGUAAAUUCGACAAUAGCGAACUUUAACAAUACCAUCACAGAUUUGAAUAAGAACUCCAAAAUUUUUGAAGAAAAUCUUAUACAAAUAAGUAACUAUUCCCGUAAAAUAAACAAUAGGUAUCUUGCAUUAGAAUUAAAACAAAAUUUAGACGAACACUUUUCUUUAUUAAAUCUAGUUAUUACAACAUUACAAAACGAAAUAACGACCGUUAUGGACACGAUUUUACUUUCUAGAUCAAACAUUUUACACCCUUAUGUCAUAACACCAUUUCAAUUGAUCGAAGAAUUGAGUAAAACAAUUCCACAUUUACCUAGUUCAUCUACGUAUCCUUUACCAGUUAACCGCGAAAAUGCACACAAAUAUUUAGAAUUACUCACAAUCAAAUGUUUCUUCACCGACAACAGAAUUGGCUAUGUUCUAUCAAUACCUCUUGUAAAUCGAAAUCAAUUUAAUCUUUAUAAAUUAAUUCCAUUACCGGUUUUAGACAACUCAACCUCUUAUUAUAAAUUUAUUUUACCGUCAUUCAAUUAUCUAGCAAUCUCCGAAAACCAUAAUUUGUAUUUAGGUUUAAAUGAGUUAACUAAUUGUCAAAAUUUAGAUGAAUCAACUUUUAUUUGUGUAACUUCGGAACCUUUCUACUAUACAAAUUCUAGACCUAUAUGUGAAACCGAACUUUUAAAAUCUCCUCUCAAUAUCCCAAUAAAUUGCAACAUAAGAAUUAUAACCUCUCGCUUAGAAAUUUGGCAUAAAUUGGAUAAACCGAAUACAUGGAUUUAUAUUUUACCCAAAAGAACUGAUAUCGCCUUAAAUUGCUUUCAAAUGUCACACAUAACCCUUUUCUUAGAAAAUACUGGAGUUUUAAAAAUUAACUCAAAUUGUAAAUUAUACACAAGUUCCGCAACUUUCUUAACCGAUAAAACAAUUCGUAAUAGUACACACAAUGCUGUUGUACCUCAGUUAAAAUUAAAUGACGAUUGUUGCAUUAAUUUAACUAAAACAAAAAAUUUUUCUUUAAAUCUAUUACCUAUAACACCUACUAAUCUUCACAUCGACACAUUAAAAGAAGCAAGCCAUAAAUUACAAGAUAUUGCCAAAUCAACAGACGAAUUAUUAUUAAAUAAAGAUUUAACUUUCUUCCAGGAUACUAGUUAUACUAAUCAUAUUUUUCUUUUGAUUUUCGUAAUUUUCAUAAUAUUCUCAUUAUAUUCGCUGUCCAAAUAUUGUAAGAAACGUCACUCAAAUCACUCGAUAUUUAAUCUAUGUAAAAAAUCAUCAUCAGCUCCAUCUUAUAAUGUAAAAUAUGAUAGUUCAGCAGGCUCACAUUCAGAAUCUCAUUCAUCAGCAGUAGAUAUAAGUCCGGUUGCGCCAAAUACAUCGUCAUCACUACCAAAAUUAAGAACCGAUAAAUCGUAUUCUUAAUUUUCUUUUACGGAGGGAGGUGUAAUGUACCCAUUAUAAAUAUCCCUUUAACGUUAUAAUUAUCAUUAUCAUUAGUAAACAUCUUUCAUUAUCAUUAGCAAACGUCUUAAAUUUAAUUUGUAUCAUCUACAUCCGGCAUGUUCAACUUUGUACCUAAUUACUUUACUAUCUCGAGUCCACUUUUAUUUGUACAUUCUUCCGCUUAUCGCCUUUCAUCCCUCUAUAUAUAAGAAAUCAUUUUUAUGUUAUAGGGCAGUCAGAAUAAGUUAGUUGUUACUAUACGACCUAAUGUCAAUUCCAAAUUCCAAGUUUUAAUAAAUUAUAGUAGUAGUUAGAAGUAAA